AAUGAACGUUGGCGGCGUGGAUUAGGCAUGCAAGUCGAGCGAGAAACUUUCUUUUGAUCCUUCGGGUGAAGAAGAAAGCGGACAGCGGCGAAAGGGAGAGUAACGCGUAGAUACGUACCCGGGGUUCGGGAUAGCGGGGAGAAAUCGCCGGUAAUACCGAAUAAUGUUUCCGAACCAAAGAUUUAUUGCCCUCGGAGCGGUCUGCGUACUAUUAGUUUGUUGGUGGGUAAUGGCCUACCAAGGCAAAGAUGGUUAGCGGGUGUGAGAGCAUGGCCCGUCUCACUGGGACUGAGACACUGCCCAGACACCUACGGGUGGCUGCAGUCGAGAAUCUUCCGCAAUGGACGAAAGUCUGACGGAGCGACGCCGCGUGCGGGAUGAAGGCCUUCGGGUUGUAAACCGCUGUCAGUAGGGAGGAAAUUUUGACCGAUCUACAGAGGAAGCACAGGCUAAGUUCGUG
rnacentral:rRNA from 1 species